rnacentral:rRNA from 1 species
UACGAACUGUGCGAACGUUAUUCGGAAUCACUGGGCUUACAGGGUGCGUAGGUGGCUCAACAAGUCAGGUGUGAAAGCCCCCGGCUCAACCGGGGAACUGCGCUUGAAACUGUUAGGCUCGAGUCAGCUAGAGGUACACGGAACUUCCAGUGGAGCGGUGAAAUGUGUUGAUAUUGGAAGGAACACCGGAGGCGAAAGCGGUGUACUGGGGCUGGUCUGACGCUGAGGCACGAAAGCCAGGGGAGCGAACGGG